AUCCGGGUUGCGGACAGUGUCUGGUGGGUAGUUUGACUGGGGCGGUCUCCUCCUAAAGAGUAACGGAGGAGCACGAAGGUUGGCUAAUCCUGGUCGGACAUCAGGAGGUUAGUGCAAUGGCAUAAGCCAGCUUGACUGCGAGCGUGACGGCGCGAGCAGGUGCGAAAGCAGGUCAUAGUGAUCCGGUGGUUCUGAAUGGAAGGGCCAUCGCUCAACGGAUAAAAGGUACUCCGGGGAUAACAGGCUGAUACCGCCCAAGAGUUCAUAUCGACGGCGGUGUUUGGCACCUCGAUGUCGGCUCAUCACAUCCUGGGGCUGAAGUAGGUCCCAAGGGUAUGGCUGUUCGCCAUUUAAAGUGGUACGCGAGCUGGGUUUAGAACGUCGUGAGACAGUUCGGUCCCUAUCUGCCGUGGGCGCUGGAGAACUGAGGGGGGCUGCUCCUAGUACGAGAGGACCGGAGUGGACGCAUCACUGGUGUUCGGGUUGUCAUGCCAAUGGCACUGCCCGGUAGCUAAAUGCGGAAGAGAUAAGUGCUGAAAGCAUCUAAGCACGAAACUUGCCCCGAGAU
rnacentral:rRNA from 1 species